rnacentral:rRNA from 1 species
UACGUAGGGGGGCAAGCGUUGUCCGGAAUUAUUGGGCGUAAAGAGCUCGUAGGCGGUUUGUCGCGUCUGCUGUGAAAUCCCGAGGCUCAACCUCGGGUCUGCAGUGGGUACGGGCAGACUGGAGUGCGGUAGGGGGAGAAUGGAAUUCCUGGUGUAGCGGUGGAAUGCGCAGAUAUCAGGAGGAACACCGAUGGCGAAGGCAGUUCUCUGGGCCGUAACUGACGCUGAGGUGCGAAAGCGUGGGGAGCAAACAGG